GAACCAGUGGCCUAAUGGAUGAAGCAUCAGCCUCCAGAGCUGGGGAUUGUGGGUUUGAGUCCCACCUGGGUUG
rnacentral:tRNA from 1 species